AUUUAGGGCUAGCCAUGUGUUCGGGAUGAUAGGUGCUGCACUUGUUUCAUCUGCUGAGUCAACUGGAACAUUUUUCGCUGCAGCUCGGCUUUCUGGUGCCACAGCCCCCCAGCACAUGUACUCGGCAGAAGUAUUGGGUUACUGGGCCUUGGUAUGCUGCUUGAAGGGGUUUUUGGUUCUCUUGUUGGUACUACUGCAUCCGUUGAAAAUGUUGGCCUUCUUGGGCUUACGCAUAUAGGAAGCAGAAGGGUUGUGCAGAUUUCAACUGCAUC